AAUCGCAAUAACUUAGUUUGUAUGUGUUGAUAUCAUUUUGAACCUAAUGUACUAAAUAUGUAUUUAUUUUUAUUAAGAAUUGUAAAGGAAAUCGUUUUGAGCCUGACGAAUCUGAAUAUUUUUUAAAAGUAAAGAAGCGGCAAAUUGCGAGUAUAUUUGCUAAAAUUCAUAAAGUGUUGAAGUUACCACAGAGUACUCGUUGGGAACGACCCCAACUUUCAAAUAAGCGAAAUCGUCAUUUAAAAGAAAUGGGUGUUAAUAUUUCUUUUUCAAAGUUGAUUUUGUAAUAUACAAUUAAGUA